UACGGGGGGGGCAAGCGUUGUUCGGAAUUACUGGGCGUAAAGGGCUCGUAGGUGGCCAACUAAGUCAGACGUGAAAUCCCUCGGCUUAACCGGGGAACUGCGUCUGAUACUGGAUGGCUUGAAUUCGGGAGAGGGAUGCAGAAUUCCAGGUGUAGCGGUGAAAUGCGUAGAUAUCUGGAGGAAUACCGGUGGCGAAGGCGGCAUCCUGGACCGACAUUGACGCUGAUGAGCGAAAGCUAGGGGAGCAAACGGGG
rnacentral:rRNA from 1 species